rnacentral:rRNA from 2 species
ACGGGUGAGUAAUACAUCGGAACGUGCCCGAUCGUGGGGGAUAACGCAGCGAAAGCUGUGCUAAUACCGCAUACGAUCUACGGAUGAAAGCGGGGGAUCGCAAGACCUCGCGCGGACGGAGCGGCCGAUGGCAGAUUAGGUAGUUGGUGAGGUAAAGGCUCACCAAGCCGUCGAUCUGUAGCUGGUCUGAGAGGACGACCAGCCACACUGGGACUGAGACACGGCCCAGACUCCUACGGGAGGCAGCAGUGGGGAAUUUUGGACAAUGGGCGCAAGCCUGAUCCAGCCAUGCCGCGUGCAGGAUGAAGGCCUUCGGGUUGUAAACUGCUUUUGUACGGAACGAAACGGUCUUUUCUAAUAAAGAAGGCUAAUGACGGUACCGUAAGAAUAAGCACCGGCUAACUACGUGCCAGCAGCCGCGGUAAUACGUAGGGUGCAAGCGUUAAUCGGAAUUACUGGGCGUAAAGCGUGCGCAGGCGGUGAUGUAAGACAGAUGUGAAAUCCCCGGGCUCAACCUGGGAACUGCAUUUGUGACUGCAUCGCUGGAGUGCGGCAGAGGGGGAUGGAAUUCCGCGUGUAGCAGUGAA